rnacentral:rRNA from 1 species
GACGAACGCUGGCGGCGUGCUUAACACAUGCAAGUCGAACGGACAGACCCUGCUUUUGUGGGGUUCUCGUUUGGCGACCGGGUGAGUAACACGUGAGUAUCCUGCCCUUGACUUUGGGAUAACUUCUGGAAACUGGGGCUCUUACCCGAUAGGAUCUCCUGCUGCAUGGUGGGGCUUGGUAAGUUUCGGCGGUUGGGGAUGGACUCGCGGCUUAUCAGCUUGUUGGUGGGGUAGUGGCUUACCAAGGCUUUGACGGGUAGCCGGCCUGAGAGGGUGACCGGCCACAUUGGGACUGAGAUACGGCCCAGACGCCUACGGGAGGCAGCAGGGGGGAAUAUUGCACAAUGGGCGGAGGCCUGAUGCAGCAACGCCGCGUGCGGGAUGACGGCCUUCGGGUUGUAAACCGCUUUCGCCUGUGACGAAGCGUGAGUGACGGUAAUGGGUAAAGAAGCACCGGCUAACUACGUG